GACGAACGCUGGCGGCGUGCUUAACACAUGCAAGUCGAACGACGUGGCGAACGGGUGAGUAACGCGUAAUCAACCUGCCCUUCAGGGGGGGACAACAGUUGGAAACGACUGCUAAUACCGCAUCCUGAAGCAGGUGAUUGCGUUUGAUUCGCGAGUUGGAGGGGUAACGGCCCACCAAGGCGAUGAUCAGUAGCCGGUCUGGGAGGGUGAACGGCCAAAUUGGGACUGGGACACGGCCCAGACUCCUACGGGAGGCAGCAGUGGGGAAUCUUCCGAAAUGGACGAAAGUCUGACGGAGCAACGCCGCGUGAGUGAUGACGGCCUUCGGGUUGUAAAGCUCUGUUAAUCGGGACGCGGUACCGGAAGAGAAAGCCACGGCUAACUACGUGCCAGCAGCCGCGGUAAUAC
rnacentral:rRNA from 1 species